UACAGAGGUCCCAAGCGUUGUUCGGAUUCACUGGGCGUAAAGGGUGCGCAGGUGGGCUGUCAAGUUCGAUGUGAAAGCCCCGGGCUUAACCCGGGAAUGGCAUUGAAUACUGAUGGUCUGGAGGAUUGGAGGGGGGACUGGAAUUCUUGGUGUAGCAGUGAAAUGCGUAGAUAUCAAGAGGAACACCAGUGGCGAAGGCGAGUCCCUGGACAAUUCCUGACACUGAGGCACGAAAGCCAAGGGAGCAAACAGG
rnacentral:rRNA from 1 species